rnacentral:rRNA from 1 species
GUGAAAUGCGUAGAUAUCGGGAGGAACACCAGUGGCGAAGGCGGCAACCUGGCCUGUAACUGACGCUGAGACGCGAAAGCGUGGGGAGCGAACCGGAUUAGAUACCCGGGUAGUCCACGCCCUAAACGUUGCGCACUAGGUGUUGGUCGGAUUGACCCGAUCAGUGCCGCAGCUAACGCAUUAAGUGCGCCGCCUGGGGAGUACGGUCGCAAGAUUAAAACUCAAAGGAAUAGGCGGGGGCCCGCACAAGCAGCGGAGCGUGUGGUUUAAUUCGAUGCGACGCGAAGAACCUUACCUGGGCUUGACAUGUACGUGAAACCUCGGUGAAAGCCGGGGCCUCCCGCAAGGGACUUGUACACAGGUGGUGCAUGGCUGUCGUCAGCUCGUGCCGUGAGGUGUUGGGUUAAGUCCCACAACGAGCGCAACCCCUGUCCUUAGUUGAAUAUUCUAGGGAGACUGCCGGGCGAAACCCGGAGGAAGGUGGGGAUGACGUCAAGUCAGCAUGCCCUUUAUGUCCAGGGCUACACACACGCUACAAUGGCCGGUACAACGGGUUCCGACACGGCGACGUGAAGGCAAUCCCUAAAAGCCGGUCUCAGUUCGGAUUGCAGGCUGCAACUCGCCUGCAUGAAGUCGGAGUUGCUAGUAACCGCAGGUCAGCACACUGCGGUGAAUACGUUCCCGGGCCUUGCACUCACCGCCCGUCACACCACCCGAGUCUGCUGCUCCCGAAGUCGCUGGCCGAACCCGUAAGGGACGGAGGCGCCGAAGGAGUGGCCGGUAAGGGGGGUGAAGUCGUAACAAGGUAACCGU